CCGGAGCGGCGACGGAGCCCGCUCGGUAUCGCGGACGUGCGAGACCGAGCGGGCUCCAUCCGCCGCUCGGUC
rnacentral:pre_miRNA from 1 species